rnacentral:rRNA from 1 species
UACGUAGGGGGCAAGCGUUGUCCGGAAUCAUUGGGCGUAAAGAGCGUGUAGGCGGUUCGGUAAGUCUGCUGUGAAAGUCCAGGGCUCAACCCUGGAAAGCCGGUGGAUACUGUCGGACUAGAGUGCGGAAGAGGCGAGUGGAAUUCCCGGUGUAGCGGUGAAAUGCGCAGAUAUCGGGAGGAACACCAAUUGCGAAGGCAGCUCGCUGGGACGUGACUGACGCUGAGACGCGAAAGCGUGGGGAGCGAACAGG